AGUGAACGCUGGCGGUAGGCCUAACACAUGCAAGUCGAACGGCAGCACAGUAAGAGCUUGCUCUUACGGGUGGCGAGUGGCGGACGGGUGAGGAAUACAUCGGAAUCUACUUUUUCGUGGGGGAUAACGUAGGGAAACUUACGCUAAUACCGCAUACGACCUACGGGUGAAAGCAGGGGAUCUUCGGACCUUGCGCGAUUGAAUGAGCCGAUGUCGGAUUAGCUAGUUGGCGGGGUAAAGGCCCACCAAGGCGACGAUCCGUAGCUGGUCUGAGAGGAUGAUCAGCCACACUGGAACUGAGACACGGUCCAGACUCCUACGGGAGGCAGCAGUGGGGAAUAUUGGGCAAUGGGCGCAAGCCUGAUCCAGCCAUACCGCGUGAGUGAAGAAGGCCUUCGGGUUGUAAAGCCCUUUUGUUGGGAAAGAAAAGCAGCAGAUUAAUACCCCGCUGUUCUGACGGUACCCAAAGAAUAAGCACCGGCUAACUUCGUG
rnacentral:rRNA from 1 species